rnacentral:lncRNA from 10 species
UGCAAACAAAAUGGUUUAACAACCCUGGGUAACAGUUAACAGUUUCUUUAAAAACCAAAUAUAUACCCACCACUUGACUGAGCCAUUCUACUCCUAGGUAUUUAUCCAAGACAAAUGAAAACAUGUCCACAAAAAGACUUGUAUGUGGAUAUUCAUAGUUUUAUUUGUAACAGCCCAAAACUGAAAACAAGACAAUGGCUAUAUUAACAAGUGAAUGGCUAAGCAAA